CCCAACUAUCCCUAUUAAUCAUUACGUCGAUCCUAGAAACCAACAAAAUAGGGUCAAACGUCCUAUUUCAUUAUUCCAUGCUAAUGUAUUCAAGCGUUAGCUUGCUUUAAACACUCUAAUUUUUUCAAAGUAACAGUCCUGAUUCUCCACGACACCAAAUUAAUGACAUCAUGGUUCGUCAGAAGGGAGAAACCAAUAAAAUCAGUACGUACCAGAGGCACGACCAAUUAAUUGAUCCCGAAAUUCAACUACGAGCUUUUUAACUGCAACAACUUUAAUAUACGCUAUUGGAGCUGGAAUUACCGCGGCUGCUGGCACCAGACUUGCCCUCCAA
rnacentral:misc_RNA from 1 species